AAUCGCUCUGAGCAGAGAUCUGAUUCUCUUCCCAACGAUACUUGUCAGACAAAGCAAGAGGCGAGUGCCUUUCCAAUUAACCUAACCUGCGUCACAAAUGUAAAGGGGACACGGCAAACCUCAAACCUAUUAAUACUUGAUUUUGUGGGCAGGGGUAGAAUAUGCAAAGGGCAGGAAGCUCAUCAACCUGGGUUUCCCUCACGUUCUGUCGCGGACACGAGCGCUCCAGCCUGUCGAGAGGACCCUAGCCAGCAGAACCUUACUGUUUGGGGAGGGGCGAGGAGGGCUCCUUUGCAGAUCCUCCUCGAUUUGGACCAUCCCUAAAGAGCGGACAGCGCCUCGAGAGCGACUGGGUUUGCAUCGAGACGGAAGGAAUUAGUGGUUCUGUUCUGCGAGUGAAAUAGCCCACCGAAGGUAGCGCUUAAUAAAAUGCGGUGCAUAUAUAACCCAUACCAGGCGCAGGGGCGGUCCUCCGGGUCCCGCCCCGAGGGCGCCUUCCAGCGCCGCCAGGCUGCGCCCGCCGCACCUGCUUCUGCCCGGAGUGGUUUCCGUGGAAACUCCGGAGAGCCGGUUCUCCCUUCAGACACGCUGUUACCCGGACGACUGCGACCUAGCAGGAGGCGGUCCGAGGGUGGCAGUGGACGCCUGCUUUAAAUCAAAGGUUCAAAGAGAUUCUCUAAGGCGGGAGGGCAGAAACCGGAGGGCAGUGCGCGAUGUUUGGGAAUGGAGGUGGAGCCUCGGGAGCCUGCGUGGGGGUGGCGUUAAUGGACGACGCAGGCUCCGCACUCUGCGUAGCUCCCCCAUGCACCCCACUAGGGCCAGACGCAGAGGAGGAGAGGAGCGAACACCAUGCAGAAGUGGCCUCAACAAAAAUGUGCCUUUCUGGAGAUGGAUUGCACAACAAUGUGACUGUAUGUGGGCCUGCACAGUGAAAAAUGGCUAAAUAAAUGUGUGAGAUUUUAGGUUCCCAACCAGGGAUUGAACCUGCACUCCUGCAGUGGAGGUGUGGAGUCUUACCCACUGGACUUCCACUGGACCUCCAGAGAAGCCCCCGUUUUGUUUUUCAAGUGAGAAGUGACUGCUAAUACUCUGCCAGCUAUUUGGAGAAAGGGAAUAAAUGAUCACAAUAUUGCCUCUGUACUGAAAAACAUUAAGGUCUAGUAUAAGAUGUUAUAAAUGUACAUAAAUAUGUAUAAUACGGGAAGGGUUGGAUAAAUGCUAUGUGGGGAAAAGUUACAAAGUGCUGUGGCUGGUUAGAAGGGAGGACAACCUAGGCAGUAACAUCAAGUAUUCAUUGAAGAGAAUAUAUUUGAUCUAGAUUUUAAGAAAGUUGGUGAUGGACAGGGAAGCCUGGCAUGCUGCAGUCCAUGGGGUUGCAAAGAGUCGGACACAACUGACCGACCGAACUUAGACUUUAAGAAAUGGGUACAGCUUUCCCUGGCCCAGGGAAGCGAAAGUGAGGCUUUUCCAGGUCAGGGUUUCUCAGCCUUGGCACUAUUCACAUUUUGAGUCUGGAUAUUUCUUUGCUGUUGGGGCUGUCCUGUCAUUAUAGGACAUUGAACAGCAUCUCUGGUUUCCAGCCACUGGAUAUCCCUCCCAGUGGUGACAACCAAAAUGUCUCUAGACAUUGCUGCAUUUCUUCUGGAGGGCAAAGUCGACUUUGGUGAGAAUCACUAUUCUAGUCUCAGAGGAUGAUGUUAGGAAGGGAGUAUGUUUGGGGAAUAAAGGAACAUCUGUAUCAGCCUGUUUCAAAAUGUGUUCCUGGGAACAUUAGUGUCUAGUGAGAUAAGUGAUGGUCCCUUAAAUAGGGUUCAUGGUCAAAUAGCAUUGAGAAAUAGCACAUACUUUUCCCCUCAAUUGGAAAUUCACAGUGUAUAUUAGAAUAGUAAAGGCUUUGAGAAUUGUGCAGGAAAGCUCUUUGACAUUGGUUACAUUUAACUAUCAAAGAACUUAAAAAAAAAUCAACAAACAAGUACUAACCUCCUGAAGGGUACUAUUGUAUUGCAGGACACAGCUUGAAAAAUGAUAGCAUAUUUGACUGAAACAUACAGGAUAUGAAAGAUUUACAGCUGGAAAAGAUUUAGAGCUGAUGCUGGGAAAGAUUGAAGGCAGGAGGAGAAGGG